GGGAAGAGCUCAAAUUUAAAAUCUGGCAGGCUACGCUUGUCCGAAUUGUAAUCUCGAGAAGUGUUUUCCGCGUUGGCCUGUGUACAAGUCCCUUGGAACAGGGCGUCAUAGAGGGUGAGAAUCCCGUCCUUGGCACAGACACCCAAUGCUUUGUGAUACACUCUCAAUGAGUCGAGUUGUUUGGGAAUGCAGCUCAAAAUGGGUGGUAAAUUCCAUCUAAAGCUAAAUACUGGCGAGAGACCGAUAGCGAACAAGUACCGUGAGGGAAAGAUGAAAAGCACUUUGGAAAGAGAGUCAAACAGUACGUGAAAUUGUUGAAAGGGAAACGAUUGAAGUCAGUCGUGCCUGCCUAGUCUCAGCCUUUUGGUGUACUACUAGGUCGGCAGGUCAGCAUCAGUUUGGGAGGAUUAACAAGGGAGUUAGGAAUGUGGCAACCUCGGUUGUGUUAUAGCCUAGCUUCGCAUUGAUCUUGCUGGACUGAGGAACGCAGUGCGCCCGCAAGGGUUGGUCUUCGGACACAUUCGCACUUAGGAUGCUGGCAUAAUGGCUUUAAACGACCCGUCUUGAA
rnacentral:rRNA from 1 species